rnacentral:rRNA from 1 species
CCCGCGCCGUAUUAGCUAGUUGGUGGGGUAACGGCCUACCAAGGCGACGAUACGUAGCCGACCUGAGAGGGUGAUCGGCCACACUGGAACUGAGACACGGUCCAGACUCCUACGGGAGGCAGCAGUAGGGAAUCUUCCGCAAUGGGCGAAAGCCUGACGGAGCAACGCCGCGUGAGUGAUGAAGGUCUUCGGAUCGUAAAGCUCUGUUGUUAGGGAAGAACAAAUGUGUAAGUAACUGUGCACAUCUUGACGGUACCUAACCAGAAAGCCACGGCUAACUACGUGCCAGCAGCCGCGGUAAUACGUAGGUGGCAAGCGUUAUCCGGAAUUAUUGGGCGUAAAGCGCGCGUAGGCGGUUUUUUAAGUCUGAUGUGAAAGCCCACGGCUCAACCGUGGAGGGUCAUUGGAAACUGGAAAACUUGAGUGCAGAAGAGGAAAGUGGAAUUCCAUGUGUAGCGGUGAAAUGCGCAGAGAUAUGGAGGAACACCAGUGGCGAAGGCGGCUUUCUGGUCUGCAACUGACGCUGAUGUGCGAAAGCGUGGGGAUCAAACAGGAUUAGAUACCCUGGUAGUCCACGCCGUAAACGAUGAGUGCUAAGUGUU